AGAGUUUGAUCAUGGCUCAGAUUGAACGCUGGCGGCGUGCCUAACACAUGCAAGUCGAGCGAAGCUUUGGGGCUUGCCCCAGAGACUUAGCGGCGCACGGGUGAGUAACACGUGGAUGAUCUACCCAUCAGUUUGGGAUAACAGUUGGAAACGACUGCUAAUACCGGAUACGAUCUUUUAUCASAUUAAGGUGAAAGGCGGCCUCUGCUUGCAAGCUGUCGCUGAUGGAUGAGUCCGCGGCUCAUUAGGUAGUUGGUAGGGUAACGGCCUACCAAGCCGACGAUGAGUAGCCGGCCUGAGAGGGUAAUCGGCCACACUGGGACUGGAACACGGCCCAGACUCCUACGGGAGGCAGCAGUGGGGAAUAUUGCGCAAUGGGCGAAAGCCUGACGCAGCGACGCCGCGUGAGGGAUGAAGGCCUUCGGGUCGUAAACCUCUGUCAGAAGGGAAGAACGGGCAUGGUGCUAAUCAGCCAUGUUUUGACGGUACCUUCAAAGGAAGCACCGGCUAACUCCGUGCCAGCAGCCGCGGUAAUACGGAGGGUGCAAGCGUUAAUCGGAAUCACUGGGCGUAAAGCGCGCGUAGGCGGCUUUGUAAGUCAGAGGUGAAAUCCCACGGCUCACCCGUGGAACUGCCUUUGAUACUGCAUUGCUUGAGUGAGUGAGAGGAUAGU
rnacentral:rRNA from 1 species